ACAUAGUCCUAGAUACUUUACAGACGCGUUAAAAUAUUUACCAUAUACUGAUCUGGGAUCUUGAACGUAACAUCAUGUGGUGGUGCAUUAUAACCCGAAGGGAGGUCGACUUUUACCUACACUGUACUACCUGGCCUUUGCCUACCUACCUGUAAAACUAUAGUUUCUUUACGAAAUAUUUACGAAGAAACGAAUACGAUUCUUUGACCCCUUGUUGUGCGAGCGCUAUUUAAUUUUACAGCAAUUUCAUACAUGCAAUUAUUGUAGGAAUAUAUUUUAGAUUUUUUCCAUGGAAUUACUUUGUAUGAAGUUUCCAUAAUAUUAUAGUAUUAUGAAUAUGUGUAUAAGGAUUCAAGAGUGAAAAUAACAUUUGGAACAUGUAUUUCGUCAAUAAAAUUUAUGAUUUCUUUA